rnacentral:misc_RNA from 1 species
AUUUAUUCAGCAAAAAUACAUUACAUAGAUCAAAGAUGAAGAGAACUAUGUGUAUAUACAGGAGGCAACAGCAUUAUCCGCGGGCUAUUCAAUCUAGUGACAGACUCUCUGACUAGGAAAAUGUGGAGAAAGAUAACUAAUUCUAAGAAAGUAUAACAAUAACAAGAAUUGCUUUAAGGCAGUCACCACAAGGCUUUUUUGUUCCAAUAACUCAGGCUUCCAAGGCACUCGAUUCUUGAUGAUGACACUUUGCACCCUGCAAUCCUUGUGCUAAACCAUCGCUUAGGGUUCUUCCAUAAACACUUGUCAAUACAUGUUAAUUUAAGAUGUUGGACAAAAUUUAGUCACAGCACCAAUAAAGCAUAUGAUGCAAAAUCAAUGCUUAAGCCAAUAAUUUCGCAGCUGGGACAUGUGCAACAGUAUCUCAUCUCGG